GAGAGAAAGAGAGAUAAAUGGAGAGUGAGAAAAUGUGGGGAAGCUUAAUGAACAGAGUGAAACCAUACUUAGCAAUGAUAUCUAUGCAAUUUGGUUAUGCCGGUAUGUACAUAAUCACCAUGGUGUCUCUUAAGCAUGGCAUGAACCAUUACAUUCUAGCUGUUUAUCGCCAUGCAAUCGCCACCGUUGUCAUCGCUCCGUUGCUCUUUUUCAUGAAAGGAAAAUAAGGCCGAAGAUGACGUUCCGAAUAUUCCUACAAAUCGCGCUUCUCGGAUUUAUUGAGCCGGUGCUGGAUCAGAAUCUCUACUACGUCGGGAUGACUUACACAUCAGCAACUUUCGCCUCUGCUACCGCUAAUGUCCUACCCGCCAUCACCUUUGUCUUGGCCAUCAUUUUCAGGUU